rnacentral:rRNA from 1 species
CAGCAGCCGCGGUAAGACAGAGGGUGCAAACGUUGUUCGGAAUUACUGGGCGUAAAGCGUGUGUAGGCGGCUUCGCAAGUCGGAUGUGAAAGCCCCGGGCUCAACCCGGGAAGUGCACUCGAUACUGCGGAGCUAGAGUGUCGGAGAGGUUGGUGGAAUUCUCGGUGUAGAGGUGAAAUUCGUAGAUAUCGAGAGGAACACCGGUGGCGAAGGCGGCCAACUGGACGAACACUGACGCUGAGACACGAAAGCGUGGGGAGCAAACAGGAUUAGAUACCCCGGUAGUCCCUGUCUCUUAUAC